rnacentral:lncRNA from 1 species
AAUGAGGAAAUGCUGUAAAUCUUCCCAGGACCCUAAUGAGGAAUCCUAAACCGAAAAUCUGCUUUGAAGAGUCUUCUCCCAGGAGUAAACAACGCCUGACCCAUGAAGGCCAGACCGUUCCCCCACAUGGGCAGACAGCACCAUCCCCGCUUCACACAGAUGUGUUGUGUCGCAUAAACGUGGAGCCAGUCCUUACUGAAAACAGUUUGACAGUUGCAAACUCUGCUGCAUUCUAAAUUUGGGAGGAAGGCCAUGAAAAUGCUACUGUUAUUACUGCUGCCACCAACACUCAUGCUGAAUACCAAAUUAAUCAUUUGGAUUUUGUGAAAAGUGCUGGUGGCAACCCACGAAAUGAACUUCCUGCCUCGCUGUGCGUCACAGGUGCAGCCGACGUGCGGAGGCUCACAGUCCAGGCCGCGCUCCCGGUGACGCCUCACCCUGUUCCGCAGGCUCGGUUUGGCUUCUGCCACGUGCAGCGUUCCCCUGCCUCUCUAGAGUGCCCCUAUAUCACCUGUCACCGUUGUGGUUAAGACGAGGGAGCGUUGAGUGACUUACAUCAAAGACAGGUCGGUGAAACCAGAUGCCAGCGUUCUUCCUCCAGCAGACCCGUGAGCAGGCAGGACCCACCUCACCGCCAGCCUGCACACAGCGCUCAGCAGAGCGCCCGGGCCUGGCCCCUGCAGGCCAUCCGUGCACCAGUGAGCCCUGCCUCUCCAGGGCCAGGGACUGCUAGGCCACGGCAGAACCCCGUGGCAGCUCACAGGGAGUAACCGUAACAUGGCCCCUUCCUGCAGGCCUCGGCUCUGGGCACCCUGCAAUUCCAGGUCACUGCGCCAGAGAGGAUGAGCACCCAGGCUGAGCUCACUACCUCCCUCCCUCCCUAAUGCCGACAGACCCUGAGACCUCAUUCAGUCCAGCCGUUACCACAGGGUCCGGCACAGAGAAAACAUCCAAGAAAUACCGUCAUCCAAGAGUCGCAUACCUGCUGGGUGUUACACGCUGCAUUAGGAACAACGGCAGCUCCGAACGAACAGAAAGCAGCAACGGACGACCUCGGGGAAACUGACCGUCUGUGGAGUUAGACAGGAGAGGCUCCCAAGCCACCUUUGAUUCCUUCCUGGACCACAGCCGUGGCCUCCCCUCCUGCCUGGGCUCCCGGCCUCCAGCUUUGCCCCCACACUCACUAUCUUCUCAGUGCAGCAGCCUUCGAUGUUCUCGCUCUCACUCAGUCAAUGCCAAAAUCCCUACCCAGCCACAAGGCCCUGCCGGGUCUCCCCUCAGAUGGGAGCACUACAGGCCCCUGCUCUCCCCACUCAACCCCGAGGCCUCCUUGCUGGUUCCAAACUCACUUCAGCCUGGAGGUCUUCGCACUUGCUUUUCCCUCUGGAAACCCCGUGGCUGGCUUCCUCUCUGUCCCUCAGAUCAUUACUCAGAUGUCAUUUCUCAGCGAAGCUGUCCCUGCCCGCUUCCUCUACUCUUCUCUGUAAAGCUCAUCGCCCUGUGCUUCCUUAUUUGGGUUGUCUUAUGUCUGCCUCAUGCACCACAAUGUAACCUCCAUGACAGCAAAGAAUUUUGUCCUUGUGUUCACUGACGUACGCAAUCACCUAGAACAAUGCAAAACACC